GACUCUCUUGUGCUCCCAUUUGCCUGAUAUACUUAGGUGCGCCUGCGCACAACAACAGGUGAAGAAGUAGUUCUUCUCAAAUUCUCGAUAUGAGAACAUUUUCCACCAGUCAUGGUCUCAGUGUGCAAUCAGCAGUGACUGAGAAAAGGUCGGAGAACGGAGUAUGAAAAUGGACAGUACGAAAUUCCAUUUGGUUUUAAUCAAAUUAGGCCCACUUCAGAUUAUUUGAAUAAAAAAUUACAACGCAUUGUGUUAAUAUGUUCAGUGAGUGAUGAAAGAACCAUUCGGAGCGGCCUACGCAUGAAAAAAAACCAUACCUAAUGACAAACGUUCGCCGAGACAAAUUCAAAUAUAAUACAAAAGUGAAUGACUAAUGGAAAAAGUGAUUGUUGGUCCACUACAUUGGCCACGUUGUCACCUUGACCACCAUGAUCUGGAUAGAAACUUGUUUGGCGAAUCAAGAACAUCAGCUAGCGGCAUUCUAUAAUGGGCGAUAGAAUAAAAUCAGUAGACAAAUUUGUGGCAUCUACGAGAGAAAUUCAUUGAUCCAGUUUGUGGAGUUAAUUAUAAGUCUUUAAAAGGCUUGUUAACUCUAUUUCAGAUCCUCGUUUAUUUGAUUGGAUGGCGGAAAAAUCUUGGAUCUUCGGAAAAAAUAGCUUCAGUAGCCAUAAAUACCAUUUUUAAUCAGAUGAAGUUGUAUGCUAAGCGGCGCAUUAGCUGAGUUGUUAGCGAGAUCGACUUACUGCUUUGGUCUAUACCCAACUGUGGUAUCACAAUGGAAUAAAUUAUGAGUCUGAUUGUAAACUAUGACUGUACUUCAGCUAACCUAUGUUCUAUGAUUAUAUUAUCUAUUACAUUA
rnacentral:sRNA from 1 species